rnacentral:rRNA from 1 species
UUGAACGCUGGCGGCAGGCCUAACACAUGCAAGUCGAGCGGCAGCGGAAAGUAGCUUGCUACUUUGCCGGCGAGCGGCGGACGGGUGAGUAAUGUCUGGGAAACUGCCUGAUGGAGGGGGAUAACUACUGGAAACGGUAGCUAAUACCGCAUAACGUCGCAAGACCAAAGAGGGGGACCUUCGGGCCUGUUGCCAUCAGAUGUGCCCAGAUGGGAUUAGCUAGUAGGUGGGGUAACGGCUCACCUAGGCGACGAUCCCUAGCUGGUCUGAGAGGAUGACCAGCCACACUGGAACUGAGACACGGUCCAGACUCCUACGGGAGGCAGCAGUGGGGAAUAUUGCACAAUGGGCGCAAGCCUGAUGCAGCCAUGCCGCGUGUAUGAAGAAGGCCUUCGGGUUGUAAAGUACUUUCAGCGGGGAGGAAGGUGUUGAGGUUAAUAACCUCAGCAAUUGACGUUACCCGCAGAAGAAGCACCGGCUAACUCCGUG